GUUUUUCAGAAUCACCAGGAGAAACGUGGGACAACGAUUAAAGGGAUCUAUGGGUGAUCUUGAUAAGGAUCGUAGAAUACGUGUUUCUCAGGACCCGACAAAUCGGCUACGCAAAGACAGAAGAAAGGUGACGCGCGUUUUUCACACGUUCAACAUCGAGUUACGUCGAUACGGAUUCAGCUCGGUGUGAGGACGACUAGCGAGAAAUUAACGUCGAAGAAUCGAAAGGAAUCGCGCUCUCUCUCUUGAACGGGUUCCCGAAUUCGCCGGCCGUCAAGUCUCCUCGUUUGUUUUGCGCUUGCCAGCCUUUCAGGUUUUUUCCAUCUUUUUUUAUUAUAGAGGAAUUCUUGACGGGAGGUCCGCACCAGCACUACGUCAUACUCGGACAAAUUACAUUUGGCCAACGCGUUUUCGGCUCGGCCUCUUUGCGGCUAAUGUAACUACAAGGUUACAAGAGGGAGAGAAAGUCGUUCCCAUCGACGAGUGAAUCCCCGUUCACACUGUUACGGCGAAAAUUCAGGAUGCACGAUCAUCUUUAUCGAGGCUUUGUGACGAAUGACAAAGAGUAUAAUGCUUUUACAUAAUAGGUAAGCAAACGCGAGGGGUCGGAUAAUCCAGUUUUUGUGUUUUCACGGUGCAUCGGACAACGGGAUCCUCUUCGGAUUUAUAGAGAAGAUCGGCGAUCUCCAUUUAUCUCUUUGACAGCUGCGUUCAGGUCUCAUUGCAGUGCUGUCCAUUUGUUUCACGUAUGCAGUGCGUAUUCUGUAUUCUAAAGAGCGACAUCAUCGACCCACAGAAACAGUGGACUAUUCUACAACAGCUUCAGAAUACGGAAUUUCCACGAGAGUGCCCGUACUAUUGUCUACCAUCAGCCGGCCGCAGGAAUCAAAUUCAACACGCUUUUCCUCGCGGGAGCUUGCGACUCGUAGUAACCCUGGGAGACAAACACGAUACGCCGUUCGCAAGAGAAAUAUCGGAAAUAUCGUUACGUGGCGCGGAUGUCAUUGCGCCUCCCGGGGGAGUCGCGCAAGACGUAAGACGACGUAAGGCGGGUGAUAAGGAGAGGUAGGUGCGCCUGUCUCGAGGCAGACAUGGCGUCGACAUCCUGUGGGUCGGCCGACCCACCGCCGCCGAGCGGAGGAGAGAUGGCGGAAUGGUGGUUGGUACCUUUAUGAUAUAAUGGCAUGGAGCUCGCGCCGCGAGAAGCGGCGUAUAUACUUGCUCUCGUGUGCGCAGACAAAUCCGACACCGGCGCGGAGACCGCGAGAGAGCAAGACAAAGAGAGAGAGAGAGAGCGAGGGCGAGCAAGUUCGGUUGAGUCUUACGAAGUAUGCGGGAAGCUUGUGGUCUACCCACGUGCACGUAUGAACAGUGUACACAUACAUAACGCAAAUGUAUAUAUACGUAGUGUAACGACCACCCAGGUACAUCACGUAUAGACGAGCGCUCUAGGAAAAGUGCGGAGAUGUAGAGGUACAUACGGUGUCACUGGAGUUCAUCAGGACGAAGCCGGGUUGUAUAUGCCGGAUAAUAAUUGGGGUGUUGCCGAAAGCAACUAUCGAUCCUCCUUAGCCGUCAAUGAUCAACAGGCAGAUGUAUACAAACGUCGGUCGAUGGAGAUCCGAGGAAGAUCCGUGAGGCGGGCGCAUUUAUCGAUUGGAAAACUCGUAAAGAAGGGUGACGGUAAUGACACGGCGAAGGGGUGUCUCUCAUGGCUUGCUGGACCUCCACUUGGCAGUCCACUUGGCAAAGGUAAAGGGCAAGCGUGUUACUCCACAGGAUUUCAGGAUGAAUUCGCGAUUAGACGCCGGCGAGCUGGACGCCCGCUCUUAAAGCGUUGCAGUUAACGCGCGCUUUUCGCACCGAACACGUGACACGUACCUAAAGUACAUUCCUGCAAAGGUAAAUGCACACACAUGUGCGGAGGUCCUGCGGGUGAGUUUCGGGCCGAGCUAAGUAAGCGAGAUAUAUCUCUCUCUAUUUAUCUAUCUAUCUAUCUCUCUCCCUUUUGCCGAUGUGCGCGGUGUGUUGGGACGCGGGGAAACAGAGUGGAUAUGUGUGCAACAAGGACAUCGGUGUGAGUAGGUAGGUAGGUAUGUACCGACGUGCGUUCUCCCUUCGUUAUACACAGGGUGUCCCAUUGCUAAGAACAAAGACCGUUGGUUACCGAUAUUUACGAGUGACCGACCGAAAAAUGUGUUCCCAGAAACAUUCCUGGUAGGAAGUAAGAUGGUUGAAGGAGGUCCUUUCUCUGUUCAAGACAGAAUGGAACUAACGACUUUUCCACGUCAGCUUUCUUACACAUAUCUGACUGCAAUACUUCAAGGAAAAUACAUCAGCGAACACAAAAUUCAUGGGAGUGUAUAGAAUAUUCCAAAUAUGAUUGUUAAUAAUUGGAUUAUUAUAAUUAUUAGAUGCAAAGUUUGUUGACGGACAAGGUACGUCAAGGGUUCCUAGAGCCUCUGUUGCUUCUUCUGUUCGUAACCUUUCAGGAACGAUAUAAUCAAGUCACGAACACUUUGAACGGGGACACUUGGAAGAACAACGGGACAUUCAUUUUAUUCAACUGAUUCUUUCAACUGAUUCCGCAGUAUCAAUCUUUGAAGUAACCGACAAGUUUUCACGAGAAACAGAUCUGCGAAAUGCUAUCGGAGUUGCGGUCGUCGGAUGUUCUUUUCGUUGACCCGACAAGAAUCAAAAGAGGCGCGCAUUGGCGACGGAGGUCAUCAUCGGCAACGUCAAGGAGGAGAGAUCCGAACAAGCAGCACGUCUCCGUCGGCUCGCAGGGCCAAGCAGACGGGAUCGCUCGAGCGACUUUCCGCAGUGGCGGUGGUAUUCCGCACGCGCGCGAAUUGAGUCGGCAUUCCCACCGUUCGAACUCGUCCUCGCGCGCCAACGCGAAUGACGAAUGAAUGAUUUUCGGCGCGGGACACCCUGUGUGUGCAUGUAACGCAGGCGCAGGCAGCUGUCACCUUACACCCAUGGAGGAGGCAUGGGGCUCUGCGGCGGCCAUUCUCAACUUAUCUCUAGGAUCUUUGUAAACAUGUCGUGAAAUCCGAGUAUUCCGACAGUGGCGUAGAUCACGGGGUGGCGAGGUGGAGGCUCUAUCGGGAGGCUGUGCCCGUCGAAAUUUAAAUCGGCCGUGCACACACACAUACUCACCGAGUUCAAUGCGACGAUCGUCGUCGACGACAACGACGACGAGUUCGAAUUUCGAUGUCGUGGCCGCGCGUUAAUGACUUCCGCUUAUUUCACGAGGACGAUGACGAUAAUCGUCUCGCCAAGAUCUCCUUCUGUCCUCUUCUUUUUUCGUUCUUCUUAUUGCCAGUGGAACGGUGGAAACGUGACGGGAAAUCGUCGCGUUUGCUCCUUUCCUGGCAUCGCGCUUUUUUUUUCUCGAUUAAAAUCGUCGCAGACAUCGGCGUCGCGACGUUGCGUGCUCGUGGUUCCCCUGGCAACCAGGACCACAGCGGCAGCGUCACUAAAUGGGAGCGCAUCUUUGUUCCGUACUAAUAAAAAGGACGCGCCGCUUAUACCGCGUGUGUCCUGCCCCGUUUCGUUUAGGGUAUGCGCUUUGGUGUCGUUUGGUGGUCGUUUCGGACAGGUCGCAGAGGGAAGAUUACGCGUUCGCAACGAAGUCUGCGUCGAAAACAUCCUCUUAAAUGUGGUUCAGAAAACAGUUUAACGGAAUGAAACAUAUCUUGAUUUUAACGAGCAGCUCCCGCUUAAAGACUACUUAUUCGAUGUUCAGGAUUGAGAAAUUAUAAAAGAAGCACAGAUAGUUCGAGACGUGGAGGUUUUAUCGGCAGAAGUCAAUAUUCAAUUGGCGAGAAGGGAAUAUAAGUGUAAGCGAAGCCAUCGCACGCGUGGUUUCUCAGCACCCUAUAUACUCGAGGGUUUCGCGGCGAAUUGGUAUUUGGAUCGAUCGUGUUUUAAUACAUCGGCAAAUAUCGGUCUUCGACAUCCCUUCAGUCGGAGUUCUCUUAUUUUAUCUUAUCCCACGUCGUCGUUUCACCCCAAAGUUGGAAUUCUCGAUAACUAAUGGAUAAAUUGAAAUCGAAUUGAAAGGAUCUUCUUACAUUAAAAUCGAACACCUAAUCGCGGAGACAGGAAUUGUAAAAUUUACUUCUAUUUCUCCCUCUCUCUGUCCCUCUCCCUCAUCUUGCAAACAUAGAUGAACUUUGACCUGGACGAGAAAGGUAUGAACUCAGGUAAGAAAACGGGGGUAAAAGAAAAGGAGGGAAAGAGAAAGAAAGAGACAGAAAUUCACAUUCAUUAAUAAAAGUGUCUGCAAUUAAAUAUAUGACAUACGUCUUUAAUUUUCGUUCGACUCAUUUUACCUCUUGCAAAAUGAUGUCUCUUACUGUCGAAGAAAGCAACGUUGUCGACUUAUCGUCGGCGUUAUCGCGGUAUUCCAUACAUAUACGCAAGCAUGCGAAAAAUAUGGUAUUUUUCAUACAAUUAUUCGUUGCACAUUUCUGUAAGGUAAAUGGAGCAUUUUACUUGAAAGCGCACGUUAUAACGUAUUAAUAAAAGUGCGUAUAGUUACUGUUAUACGUGACAUUUCGAGGCUAUUGAAGAUUCUGAGCCUCAGGACUCGCCAGACAAGAACCGCAGCAACGUGAAACAUAAUACAAGUUGCACCAGCCAGUCCUAAGCUCAGCCAUGCGAAGCAGCCAGCGGCUAAGGAACGCGACGUACGAAUCAGAUUACAUCUUGCGUUGGCUGCUUAUCUUUAUUCUUCACCUUACAUCGCCUCGAUUCACCUCAUUUCGCUUCAGUGACCAACCCUUCGAUCAGCGUCUUAUAACAAUGCCAGUACGCACGA